UUGUGGUUGGACUUGAUGAUCUUAAAGUUCUUUUCCAACCUGAGCAAUUUUAUGAGUCUAGAUCUCUGCCUCACUUAAAAAGAAUAGUAAUAAUACAGAAGCAGAGAAAUAACUGCUAUCCUGAAGUCAUAAACCUUACACUACAUUAUACCUGAAUUCUGGGAAACAUUUAUUCCUGUGUCUUUUCAUUGUCUAGCAGAAACAAACAGUAUAAAAACUCGUUUUGAAGUAUAAGAGUGUUGGUUUCUUGACUUAUAUUGAAGAGCUAUCAAAUGAUUCAGUUAUAUAUGCUCUUGGACAUGGACUUUGAGAGUACUCCUAAAAAUAAUCUCUGUGCAGAAACAAAGCUCCCUGAACUUUUAAAUGCAGUCUUUAACUUAAAUACUUAAAAUCUCAAAGAAAUAAAGCCUUACUAAAGUCUCAGCUGAAGGAAAUUUAAAAAAAACAAAAACAAAACCUAUAAGCCUUCAUCACAAAUUGUGUCUUCAAGACACUUGCCAUCAAUUAUCAUGAAAUCAAGCUAGGAGCCUUGGCUCAAUCCCAGAACUACAACAUAAUCAACAGAUGUGGAACAUAGUGGGAAGAGUUCUGUGAUCAGUAUAUCACAAUGGACAGUUCUGGGCUCUUUAGCAGGGACAAGGAUGGCAGAUGAGGCAGGAGAUGGCUGUCACCCAGCCAGGAUGAUGAUGUUGAGGAAUUGUUCUUCAAGGAACUAUGAGAUACCUCUAGAUCAUCCACCCUCAUCCUAAAGGGUGACUUCAACUUGCCAGAUGUUAACUGGGAAUACCACACAGCUGAUAUAAACAGGUACAAGAGAUUCCUAAAAGAUCUUGAUAGCUUCAUGGUACUGUUUCUAAGGGAGCCAAUUCGGCAAAGUCCUCUCCUAGUUUUGUUGCUUGCAAACAGAGAAGGUCUCAUGGCCAUAGUGACCAUGAAGUAGUUGAAUCUAAAAUCUUUUAUGAUAGGAGGCAAAUUGACACUAAAACUUCAAUCCUGGAUAUGGGGAGAGCAGGGUUCAGGCUGCUCAGUGAACUACUUGGCAAGGUCCCCUAGUACACUAUUUGAAGGCCUUGGUUUCCAUCAAUGCUGGACACUUUUUAAGUAUCACUUCUUAAGAGCACAGGAACAAACAAUUACAAUAUGCUGGAAGUCAUGCAGGCAGGAAAGAAGGCUGGCUUGUCUAAGCAAUGAGAUUCUUAUAGAGCGUAGGUGGAAAAAGAAGGUAUACUGCCACUGGAAGUGAGGUUGGGCAAAUUGUUAUUCAUUUUAGAGAGAAAACUGGGUGGCCAAUGUAUUGUGAGGAACAAUAAAGAGGACUUUAAAAAAUAUGUUAACAGCAAAAGAAAGAUCAGAGAUAACAUUGGUUCACUAUGUGAUGGGGAUGGUCACUUCAUAAAUAGUGAUAAAGACAAAGCAGAGAUGUUUUAUGCCUUCUACACGUCUGUCAUCAACACUAGUGAUGAGCACUAGGAACCCCGCACCCCUGAGCCGGAGAAAUCAGUUGCUGAAAAGGUAACAGAAUUUAUGGGUGUUAAGUCCACUAUUAAAAUGGCUGCCAGCAUGAAAUUCUUAUUCAGAGAGUAAAAUGGCAAUGUUCAAAAAAGAUGAAGAAAGAGAGAGACUAAUGAUGGGCUUUUUUUUUUUUUUUUUUUUUCUUUAACAUCCAAUUAAAGAGAAAGUGAAGAUUUUUUCAGCGUUCAUUAAAACAGUAUCCAUUCUAAGUCCAUACUGGUAGGUGUUGGAAAUAACUUUCAGCUUUUACCAUGUUGUAAAUAAUUUGUGUGACAAAAAAUAAUAAUAAUAAUAAAAAAAGCUGAAAUAGCUCAACAAAUACAUUUUACAUUUUACUGCUCUAUGCUGUUUUUGUUAUUAACAACAUUUCUGACAAAACAAAUGUCUGGCAGUACAGGCAAUGUUUUUAAUCUGCAAAGUGCUGAGCACUCUGUUUUUCCUCUGACCUCAGUGGUUAUCUCUGGUCAUUAGAUUGUCCCCCUACCAAUGUGUGUUUUAUCUUUAGAUUCCAAAAUACUUUCAUUAUUAUUUCCAUUUUACAAAUAAACUAAAGAAGCACAGAUCUCAGAUCACUGAUCUUACACACCUGUGAGUAGAGCAACUAGCUUAAUUUUUCUUUUCUUCCUUGUCCACCCAUGCUCUUCCUACAAAAUGUGACACCUCCCUUAGGCACAGAUUGAGUUAAAAAUAAAA